rnacentral:rRNA from 1 species
AUUGAACGCUGGCGGCAGGCCUAACACAUGCAAGUCGAACGAGUGGCGGACGGGUGAAUAAUGUCCGGGAAACUGACUGAUGGAGGGGGAUAACUAAUGGAAACGGUAGCUAAUACCGCAUAACAGCAGACGUGACCGGAUGGGAUUAGCUGGUGGGUGGGGUAACGGCUCACCAAGGCGACGAUCCCUAGCUGGUCUGAGAGGAUGACCAGCCAACCUGGAACUGAGACACGGUCCAGACGCCUACGGCAGGCAGCAGUGGGGAAUAUUGCACAAUGGGCGCAAGCCUGAUGCUGCCAUGCCGCGUGUAUGAAGAAGGCCUUCGGGUUGUAAAGUACUUUCAGCGGGGAGGCGUUACCCGCAGAAGAAGCACCGGCUAACUCCGUGCCAGCAGCCGCGGUAAUUC